rnacentral:rRNA from 1 species
CCCUUAGAUGUUCUGGGCUGCACGCGCGCUACACUGAUGCGAUCAACAAGUUUUUCCUAUGUCGAUAGACACGGGUAAUCUUUUGGACUCGCAUCGUGAUGGGGAUAGAUUAUUGUAAUUAUUAAUCUUCAACGAGGAAUUCCUAGUAGGUGCAAAUCAUCAGUUUGCAUCGAUUACGUCCCUGCCCUUUGUACACACCGCCCGUCGCUGCUACCGAUUGGUUGAUCUGGUGAAUUAUUCGGACUGCCGGCUGAAGGGGUUUCCUCAUCUGCCAGCGGAAAGUCUUGUUAACCCUAUCAACUAGAGGAAGCAGAAGUCGUAACA